CAGUGGUGAUGUUUCCAACCUUCCCAUUGGAUAGGGAGAUCCAUGAGGGUCCCACCACCUGAGUAGAUUGACAAAAAUGUGCAGAUCCACGCUCCAUGCAGGCUCCACCUAUUCCCCUGUGGCGAAUACUUUGGAAAAUCUCGAAGGACUUCGGGUGGAGGAAACGAUAGUACAGCACCAACGCUAUCACUCCUGGAGACAGAGAGAGAGGAGGCCUUGGAACAAAGUUGUGCACAAUCGUGUUGGUGUUGUUCCAACAUCAUAAUUAAUGUUGCUCGAGGAACAUCAUUUCAACUUAGUCUACAUCUGGAGCAGGUCAUUGUGUCUGACUGGAUAAAGUAAAGGACUUUCAUCAGAAGACUGGGGUCUGUUUCACUCUCCUGUCACAGUCUGGUUAGGUUAGGCAUCACAAAUUCUUAGUGUGGGUUAAACAGAACAUGUCAAGAUAUAAACACAUGUCAGCUACUCCAUAUGCAUUUUUUUCCAGUCUUUUUUCCAAAUCGCAAAGCGUGUGCUUUUGUGACAUUACAAAAGCCUGAUUGGUCAGCUGCAGUUAUUGCCUUGAAGCAUCAUUAAUCAUGAUAUUUCAGGCACAACACCAGUGCAGCG